rnacentral:rRNA from 1 species
AUUGAACGCUGGCGGCAGGCUUAACACAUGCAAGUCGAGCGAGCGGCGGACGGGUGAGUAAUGUCUGGGAAACUGCCUGAUGGAGGGGGAUAACUACUGGAAACGGUAGCUAAUAACGCCUACCAUCAGAAGUGCCCAGAUGGGAUUAGCUAGUAGGUGUGGUAAUGGUUCAACUAGGCGACGAUCCCUAGCUGGGCUUAGAGGAUGACCAGCCACACUGGAACUGAGACGCGGGCCAGACGCCUAAGGGAGACAGCAGUGGGGGAUAUUGCACAAUGGGCGCAAGCCUGGUGCAGCCAUGCCGCGUGUGUGAAGAAGGCCUUCGGGUUGUAAAGCACUUUCAGCGAGGAGGCGUUACUCGCAGAAGAAGCACCGGCUAACUCCGUGCCAGCAGCCGCGGUAAUUC